AGACUGUUCAGAUUCAAAAGGGAAGUAUGGUUAACAUUAUUAACAGCAGCUAUAAAUCUAAAAGAAUUAACAUAGAAAUGUCUUCAUCCACCAUGAGCGUAAAGAAAGCGUGAAGAAAGGUUUGAGCUAAUUCCAGUUGAAAUAGUUUGUUACUUACUUAGUCAUAUUGUCCUUUAAAUAUUCAAAGCUGAAGCAAAAACACAACAAUUGUUGCUUCUAGAAACAGCCCAGUUCUCUGUGCUGUGCUUUGCACACUACUGAUCUAAGGCAGACAAACAAAAACAACACAACUGCUGCUCAUCCUGCUUGAUUUCUACUUUUUUUGCUUUGCCCUACCCCUUUCCCAGGUGAUUGGUUGGGUUCCAGGUGGGCCUAAUGGUAUAUAAGCUGCAGGUGUCAUAUCAGAAAACUUCUUCCAUCUGAGCUGCUCUUUGGGGGUAAGUGCUUUGUUUUUUCUGCAGCCAGUUGUGGGGUUCUUUUGGUGGGUCAGAGUGUAUGGGCUGAUGUGUUUCCAAGUUGAUAGAGGAUGUCUUCCAGAUCCACAGGAAACCAUUAAAUGCUAGUAAUGCCAAUAAGACAACGAAGUAAACUGAAGCACAAGAAGCUGAAAAAGAGGAACUUAAUCAUAUUAAUGGAAGCACUAAAAAGAAAUAUGAAGAAACAUGCAUUUGCUGUAAAAUACUGGCAUUACCUUAAUACAUCAACUAACCAAGAACUAACUGUCAUAGGUUUGAGUGGACAUGAGGAAACAUUAUGCUAAGUGGAAUUCAGAUUAAUAAAGUGUGAACAUUUUGUUUUAAUGUAUUAUGU
rnacentral:lncRNA from 1 species